AAAAAAUGAUGAGAUCUUUAAUUACAAAGCCUUUCGGGUCUGAUGCAUCCGUGAUGAAUUACACAUUGAGACUGAUUUU
rnacentral:snoRNA from 2 species